CCUACGGGAGGCUGCAGUGAGGAAUAUUGGUCAAUGGACGAGAGUCUGAACCAGCCAAGUAGCGCGAAGGAUGACUGCCCUAUGGGUUGUAAACUUCUUUUAUAUGGGAAUAAAAUGUUCCACGUGUGGGAUUUUGUAUGUACCAUAUGAAUAAGGAUCGGCUAACUCCGUGCCAGCAGCCGCGGUAAUACGGAGGAUCCGAGCGUUAUCCGGAUUUAUUGGGUUUAAAGGGAGCGUAGGUGGAUUGUUAAGUCAGUUGUGAAAGUUUGCGGCUCAACCGUAAAAUUGCAGUUGAAACUGGCAGUCUUGAGUACAGUAGAGGUGGGCGGAAUUCGUGGUGUAGCGGUGAAAUGCUUAGAUAUCACGAAGAACUCCGAUUGCGAAGGCAGUUCACUGGACUGCAACUGACACUGAGGCUCGAAAGUGUGGGUAUCAAACAGGAUUAGAUACCCGAGUAGUC
rnacentral:rRNA from 1 species